UACGUAGGGUGCGAGCGUUAAUCGGAAUUACUGGGCGUAAAGUGUGCGCAGGCGGCGUCGCAAGUCGAGUGUGAAAGCCCCGGGCUUAACUUGGGAAUUGCGCUCGAAACUACGGUGCUGGAGUAUGGCAGAGGAAGGUGGAAUUCCACGUGUAGCGGUGAAAUGCGUGAGAGAUGUGGAGAACACCGGAUGGCGAAGCAGCCUUCGUGGGCC
rnacentral:rRNA from 1 species